UGCCCUCAAGGAAUUCAUUCACUGCUUCCUUCCUCUUUUGGAAUGUGUCCAUGUUAAGUAUCUCUGCAACGGUGGUGGCCUGCUGCAAAACACGCUGGAUUUUAAUUGCACAACGAAAUGCAAAUGCAGUUGAAUGGCUGGCGGGAUUGAAUCUUCACAGAGAUUAUGUUGGUCAGUCAGAGAGUACGGCACGUAUGGAGAAUCUGUGCCAGGCUACGUCACCAGGAGCCCCACAAAAGGGUGAUUUGGAAGUAUGACAUCACGAGAGGUCCCUGGGACAAGCUACGUUGGGGUGUUGAGAAUUGCUACCGCCGCAUAAAUCGAUGGCUCUGUCUAUCGAUUCAUGCUACCCUAUCAAAAAAUGCUACUUUAUGGUUUUCUACCUCUGUACAUCAAAUGAAGGCAUAAAGGGCCUGUUCCCUCUCUGCUCUUCUCACUUCUCUUCCACGUGUCCUUCCUCAAGCUCCUCAAGCCCGCCUCAAUUAGGUGUCUUAAGCAGCCACAGCUGGCUGAGUGCUGAAGCCCUCUGGGACAUGUGAUGUGGACAAUGGAGGCCAUUUUGUGAUGUGGCCGCCAAUCCUGUGCAGGGUUGUAUCAGCCCUCCACUACCUGGUUCCCUGUGAUGCCACAUAAUGUAUGAUAUGCUGACCACGUACGCGGACAUCAAAGUCAUGGCCACAUGCAGAGAACAUAUUGGAGAACAUAAAGUCUUUGGUUUUGAUGAUCUGAGUACUUUCAGAGAGCUGGAAUACCAUUUGAGCAAGGCUCAAGGGGUUCGGUUAUCAAUCCGCAAUAGAAGGUAAUGACUCUGCAGUCGGAAUUUGACCUGCCUGUCUCGUUUCAGACGCAACACACACAAAUAACAGUGCGUGCAGAGACCGUCACACACACACAGUGUCACGGUCAGCAAUCUAUUUCUAUCCAUCUCGGAUGUUCUGAAGAAGUGAUCAGGAUCCCAUUUCUCCACCACGGUUCCCUUCGGGCUUUUAUAAUUGCUUGAUUCGGGCUCCAACAGGAUUUUCCUCACAGUGCACCUUCAACUCUGAUUGGUUGGAACGUGGGAGGUCAGGCGUCAUCAUUAUCGGGAACAAAAAAAGCACGGGAGCAGGAGACGGUUGCCACUCGCGCACAGUCGCAGAGACAGGAGACACAUCUCGUGGGAUCGUACUGCACGGCGGAGCAGAGGCAGUGCAGGACAAGCAACCAUUAGUGUUGACAAAUGUUAUGCUUGUUUGUCUCUAUGUACUGGUUAUGUUUCUUCCUCCUGAUUUCACUGUCAUACUUUUUUUCUUUGUGGGGACUGAAAUAUUAAAAUGAUGGAAUUUCGGCUGGCCAUCAUUACUUUCGUGACGAUUAACACUAAAACACAUUAUGAAAAUGUAACUUUGGUAGGUCUACCUACCCCCAAACGUUGGAAUAAAACAACUUGCACAAUA